CCACCUUCGGACGCGUCGGAGCUUGCCGUCGAUCCGCGCCGCCCCGAGCACCUCGAGCCGUCCCCGGGCCUUCUCUGCAACGGCCGUGAGCCCCCGAUCCUCCUCCCUCUCUCCCCGGCCUCUCCUCGUAGCCGUAGCCACGCCGCCACUGCGCCAUGCUCUGCCGUCCGUCGCGGUCGACGCCGUCGUCGGCACCGUCCAUCCUAGCCUCAGCUGAGACCUUGAAUGGGUGCGCCCGAACCCCGGACUAUUGAACGCACCACCCCGCGUGCCUUUUGAGCUCCCGUAGCUCCGUCCCCGACGAGGCUCGAAGCCAACCGCCGCCCACGCUCACCGCCGGCGCUGCUCCGGCCAAGCCACCCCCGCGUCUGCUUCUUCUGACCUUGUCGCGCCGCUCGCUGCUCCCUGCUCCCUACGUGCGUGCGCCCGCAGCCGCCUACUGCCGCACCCUGCUCGCCCGGCCGGCUCCCCGCAUGCAUCGUCCGCCGCGAGCCGCCCGCCUCAUGCCAUGGCUGCCACCGCCUGCUCGCGCCCGCCGCUCCGGCCGCCCGCUGUGCCGCGUUGCCGCGCCCUGCCCUCCGCGUGCCACGGCUUGUUGCCUGCGUAGCUCCUGCUGCCGCUGCUCAUAGUGGCCGCCGCCUUCUACCCGCGUAGGUGCUGCUGCCGCUGCUAUUGCUUCCUGCUGCUCUUGCCGUCACCGUUGAUCUUGCACUGCUGCUGCUCUUGCUUGCUGCACCGCUGCGGCCUUGCUUGCUUUGCCUGCUGCCCCUUGCUAUUGUUGCUGCUUGGCCAUGGCCACCAGAUGCGCCCAUGUGUGUAACAGUGUAAGGCACAGCUGUGCCUUGGCAUUUGUGGCCGGCCCAAUCUGAUUAGGGGUAGGAUUAGUUUAGCACUAAUUUCAGUUUAGGUUUGUGAAGUAAUUAGGGACUAAUUUAGUCUAAGCUAAGUGGCCCCAUGUGUUUGGUUAGGCUAGUUAAUAAAGUAAUUAGUCUAAUAGCCAAUGACAUGUAGACCCACGGUUAGUUUAAAGAGAAUCACAUUUUAACAAAAAUCUAAGUUAAUGACACGUGGCCCCCUACACUGUUCAUUUGUUGACUAGUCACCAUUUGACUGGGUCAACCCAACCCCUCUGGCCCACUGUCAGCCUCUCUGGCUGAGUAUAAUAGUUGGUACACUUAGUAAAUUCCCGUUUUAAUACGAAUUAAUAAAAUUUUAGAAAAACUUUAAAACCUUAGAAAAUUCAUAGAAAAUAAUCUGUAACUCGGAUGAAAAAGUUUUAUACAUGAAAGUUGUUCAGAACGACGAGACGAAUCCGAAUACGCGUUCUGUUCAUCUGUCACAUAUCCCUAACAUAGAGAACCUGCAACUUUUCCCCUCCGGUCAUCUGUCUAACACAGGUCCGGAACCGGGAAAACCUUCCCGGUUGAAUUUCCCCUUCACCUUUAUCGUGUAGCACCGCGUUAGAACACCCCUAGCGCUGCUUUUGACUUGUCAUGCAUAGUAUUGCACUUGUUUGCUUUUAUAUUUACUGUUUCUUCCCCCUCUCUCUCCGGUAGACCCCAAGACCGAUGCUGCCCCUGUGAUUGACUACAUCGACGACGGCCCCUCCUUGCCAGAGCAACCAGGCAAGCCCCCCUUUGAUCAUCCCGAUAUCGCCCAUUCCAUUCUCUCAUGCUUGCAUUAGAUUUUGAUACUGUUAUUGUUUGCUCCUAUUCUGAUGCAUAGCCUGCUUUUGUAACCUGCUUAUCGUUACCUACCUGCUUAUCCUAAACUGCUUAGUAUAGGUUGGUUAGUGAUCCACCAGUGACCCCCACCUUGUCCUUCUUGCCCCUGCUUCAUCAUCGAAGACCCGAUCAACGGGAUCGAAGACCAGGCCCCGUCACCGCACAUCACUUUCCCUUUAGUUGCUCGACACUACUGGGUUACUAUAGAGUGCCGAGGGUGAGGCCUCAUCAGCACUUCUGAUGUUAACCUGUAGUGUAGCUAUUCGGUCGUGGUCAUCGAGGGUGAUUUCCUCCUUAACCACUUCCGAUACGGCUCUGUCGUGCAACCCCUCAAGUGUGAACCUCGAGGGUGGAUCCUCUAAUGUUCACCUUGAUGAUUACAUCGAGUGGAAUUCACCGGGGGUGAUUCCUCGGGUUUUCCCCUUGAUGUUUGGACACACGGAUACUUGGACUUUACAACUGUUACUUGGAAAGGCGGGUCGAUCCUGAGGGGUACCCGCGAGUGAUGUGGAGACGGGUUGACCUGGAGGGUGCCCGCGAGAUAAUUACGAGGCGUGGCCGGGCAUUCCUAGCCCUUGUCGCAAGUCCUCGAGACGGGGCAACGGGGUCACAUCUUUCGUGAGUCUCUGCUUGUUACCGCGUGCUCCUAAUCCACUACGAUUUGGAUAUUUGAUCCGAGGGGCCUCUGGCCUGAUAGCACUAACCAUCACGUGGGCAUAAUAUGGGCGUUCUGCAUCGUAUGCAUCAGCCGAAGCUUAAUAGACGUCAGCGACUGAGCGGCGCGCGCCGGGUUGGACUGGUAAGCACCUGCCUUUUUUGAGGAGGUAGCUAGGUCUGCUCACCGGCCGCCCUCGCAACGUGCAGGAGUUCCCGGGGCGAUGGCCCAUGACCCCUGGGGGCAUAGGUUUAGUCCGGCGUGCUGACCUCUCUAUUAAGCCUAGGUCGGGUUGCGGCGUAUUGUUUGGCCGAGGCCGGGCAUGACCCAGGAAAGUGUGUCCGGCCGGAGUUAAUCGAGCGUGGUGGGUAAGUUGGUGCACGCCUGCAGGGAAGAAAACAUCUAUCGAUAGCCUGUCCUAUGAUAACAGACACUUGGAGUUGUAUCCCGAUCGAUACAACUAGAACUGGAUACUUGUGAUGAGAAUUGGAUUGUGAUGAGAAAUGGAUAGUAUGGCUCUGGGAUUGCUUUCUCGCAGGGAGUCGAGAAAGGAUUUCUGGCCGAGGUUGAUAACACUACUACUACUUUACUUUAUACUACUCUUAUCUCUCUUCUGAUGCUGAAAGAUGCUUGGUGCUGCUUGAAGAUGCUAGUCUUCGAUAGGCUAGGCUUUCCCCUUCUCUUCUGGCAUUCUGCAGUUCAGUCCACAUAUACUACCCAUUUCAUUGACACCGAUGCAUAUGUAGUGUAGAUCCUUGCUUGCGAGUACUUUGGAUGAGUACUCACGGUUGCUUUGCUCCCCCUUUUCCCCUUUUCUUCUUUCUGGUUGAUGCAACCAGAUGUCGGAGCCCAGGAGCCAGAUGCCACCGUCGAUGCCUACUACUACGUGAAGACCGACGACGACCAGGAGUAGUUAGGAGGCUCCCAGGCAGGAGGCCUUGCCUUUUUGAUCGUUGUUGCUUUUGUGCUAGCCUUCUUAAGGCAAGCUUGUCUAACUCAUGUCUGUACUCAGAUAUUGUUGCUUCCGCUGACUCUUGUGUUUUCGAGCUUAUGUAUUCGAGCCCUCGAGGCCCCUGGCUUGUAAUACAAAGCUUGUAUUAUUUUAAUUUGUGUCUAGAGUCGUGUUGUGAUAUCUUCCCGUGAGUCCUUGAUCUUGAUCGUACACAUUUGCGUGUAUGAUUAGUGUACGAUUGAAUCGAGGGCGUCACAAGUAUGAAACAAUUGUUUGGCUUAUCAUCGGGGUUGUGCAUGAUGAGAGCAUUAUUGUGUGAUGAAAAUGAAGCAUGGUCAAACUAUAUGAUUUUGUAGGGAUGAGCUUUCUUUGGCUAUGCUAUUUUGAGAAGACAUAAUUGCUUAGUUAGUAUGCUUGAAGUAUUAUUAUUUUUAUGUCUAUAUUAAACUUUUAUCUUGAAUCUUUUAGAUCUGAACAUUCAUGCCACAAUAAAGAAAAUUACAUUGAGAAAUAUGUUAGGAAGCAUUCCACAUCAAAAAUUCUGUUUUUAUCAUUUACCUACUCGAGGACGAGCAUGAAUAUUAAGCUUGGGGAUGCUUGAUACGUCUCCAACGUAUCUAUAAUUUUUGAUUGUUCCAUGCUAUUAUAUAUUCUGUUUUGGAUGUUUAAUGGGCUUUAUUAUACACUUUUAUAUUAUUUUGGGACUAACCUAUUAACCCAAGGCCCAGUGCAAAUUGCUGUUUUUUCCUAUUUCAGUGUUUCGCAGAAAAGGAAUAUCAAACGGAGUCCAAACGGAAUGAAACCUUCGGGAGCGUGAUUUUUGGAACAAACGUGAUCCAGAGGACUUGGAGUGGAUGCCAAUAAACGAACGAGGAGGCCACGAGGCAGGAAGGCGCGCCUGCCCCCUGGGCACGCCCCCACCCUCGUGGCCCCCUCGUAGCUCCACCGACCUA
rnacentral:lncRNA from 1 species